rnacentral:rRNA from 1 species
UCUUUUCCUUUUUUGCCCGCCGCCGCGGUAAUACGGAAGGUCCGGGCGUUAUCCGGAUUUAUUGGGUUUAAAGGGAGCGUAGGCCGGAGAUUAAGCGUGUUGUGAAAUGUAGACGCUCAACGUCUGCACUGCAGCGCGAACUGGUUUCCUUGAGUACGCACAAAGUGGGCGGAAUUCGUGGUGUAGCGGUGAAAUGCUUAGAUAUCACGAAGAACUCCGAUUGCGAAGGCAGCUCACUGGAGCGCAACUGACGCUGAAGCUCGAAAGUGCGGGUAUCGAACAGG